rnacentral:rRNA from 1 species
GAUGAACGCUAGCGGCAGGCCUAACACAUGCAAGUCGAGGGGUAACUAGAGUGAUAGCAAUAUUACUUUGGCUAGACCGGCGCACGGGUGCGUAACACGUAUGCAACCUACCUUAUACUGGGGAAUAACUUCGAGAAAUCGGCGCUAAUACCCCAUAACAUUGCGAAGAGGCAUCUCUUUGCAAUUAAAGCUCCGGCGGUAUAAGAUGGGCAUGCGUCCAAUUAGCUGGUGGGUGAGGUAACGGCUCACCAAGGCUACGAUUGGUAGGGGUUCUGGGAGGAUGAUCCCCCACACUGGUACUGAGACACGGACCAGACUCCUACGGGAGGCAGCAGUGAGGAAUAUUGCGCAAUGGACGAAGGUCUGACGCAGCCAUGCCGCGUGCAGGAUGACGGCCCUACGGGUUGUAAACUGCUUUUGUACGGGAAUAAACCCUUCUACGUGUAGGAGGCUGAAGGUACCGUAAGAAUAAGCACCGGCUAACUCCGUGCCAGCAGCCGCGGUAACAC